GACGAACGCUGGCGGCGUGCCUAAUACAUGCAAGUAGAACGCUGAAGAGAGGAGCUUGCUCUUCUUGGAUGAGUUGCGAACGGGUGAGUAACGCGUAGGUAACCUGCCUUGUAGCGGGGGAUAACUAUUGGAAACGAUAGCUAAUACCGCAUAACAAUGGAUGACACAUGUCAUUUAUUUGAAAGGGGCAAUUGCUCCACUACAAGAUGGACCUGCGUUGUAUUAGCUAGUAGGUGAGGUAACGGCGCACCUAGGCGACGAUACAUAGCCGACCUGAGAGGGUGAUCGGCCACACUGGGACUGAGACACGGCCCAGACUCCUACGGGAGGCAGCAGUAGGGAAUCUUCGGCAAUGGGGGGAACCCUGACCGAGCAACGCCGCGUGAGUGAAGAAGGUUUUCGGAUCGUAAAGCUCGGUUGUAAGUCAAGAACGAGUGUGAGAGUGGAAAGUUCACACUGUGACGGUAGCUUACCAGAAAGGGACGGCUAACUACGUG
rnacentral:rRNA from 1 species